rnacentral:rRNA from 1 species
CUUGGUCAUUUAGAGGAAGUAAAAGUCGUAACAAGGUCUCCGUUGGUGAACCAGCGGAGGGAUCAUUAUCGAGUUAUUCAACUCCCAAACCCUAUGUGAACUUACCACUUGUUGCUUCGGCGCGCGCUUCGGCGCCGCCAAGGACACUUAAACUCUUUGUUUUUAUAAGCAUUUCUGAGUGGCCGAAAGGCAAAAAUACAAAUGAAUCAAAACUUUCAACAACGGAUCUCUUGGUUCUGGCAUCGAUGAAGAACGCAGCGAAAUGCGAUAAGUAAUGUGAAUUGCAGAAUUCAGUGAAUCAUCGAAUCUUUGAACGCACAUUGCGCCCGCCAGCAUUCUGGCGGGCAUGCCUGUUCGAGCGUCAUUUCAACCCUCGAGCCCGACUCUUUUGAGGACGGCUCGGCGUUGGGGGACGGCAGACUCCCCCCGGCAUCUCGCCGGGGACGCCGCCCCCGAAAUCUAGUGGCGGCCCUCCGAGGCGACCUCUGCGUAGUAACUUGUUCUCGCACCGGAAAGCUCAGAGCGGCCACGCCGUAAAACCCCAACUUUUUUCAGGUUGACCUCGAAUCAGGUAGGACUACCCGCUGAACUUAAGCAUAUCAAUAAGCGGAGGA